GAUGGUGCUUGCUGGGCUUAUGAAGUGCAGCUGUGUCCUCUCUUGCUCUGUAACACCCUCUCUGCCAGAAACAGCUCAGCAGGAAGGCAGCGGGGCACCCUGGAAACGUGCCCCUGGGCCCCACCUUACAGCCUCUGCUCCACUCCCUUCGUGGCAGAGUGGUUCAGGAGCAGUCUGCAUCCUCCUGCCAGGAGGCCAGGAAAAGCCACUCCUGGCCCUGGGCAGCUAUGUGGCUCUUGGUGGACCUCGGAACUCUGCGGGGACCAGAGGGCUGAGUGAGUCAGGCUGUGGAGGGCAGGCACCAUCCACAUUCUCAGACACUUUGGGUUAUAGUCUCUCUCUUCCUUGAUUAGAAGAGGCCUGGGAACUUCAGGUGGCGACUCUGGUGUUUCUGACUUUGGCUACCAGCAAACACUGCUGGAGGCUCUGCCCCGUCCACACCCAGCGUCUGUGAGCACGGAGGAGGCAUAAUCUGCAGAGUCUGACACAGGCCAUGCCUGACCAUCCUUGGCUGGCUACCUCCAGUGACACAGAACUGAGAAGCAAAGACGCCCAGGAGGCUGCAGUCAUUUAGCAGAGUGGUCGGAUGCCAGGGCUGUGCUGCCUGCAGCCUUUGUGGGGCUCAGUGACCAGAUGGGCAGCCCAUGCCAAGCCCAGUCCCCAGGGAUGCUGCCUGCGGUGCUCACGCAUCUUAUACAGGGACACACAAGAACUCUGGGCUCGACCCUGCAGCCUCUGCUCCAGCAUGCGGUGGUCCCAAGAGAUGUAGAACCAGCCCUUCCUCUGCAGUUGCACUGGAGACAAGGUCUUGCUGUGUUGCUCAGGCUGUUCUUGAACUGCUGGCCUCAAGCGAUCGUCCUGCCUCCACCUCCCAAAGGGCUGGGAUUACAGGCGUGAGCCCCCACACCCAGCUGGACGUCAGCCCAGCUUUUUGCACCCCCAUAUGCAUGUUUCUCUGUUGGAGCUUCUGUUUCUUAUGGCAGAAUCAUCAAGUCUCCACAUAAUCCCUGCUUUCUGUGGCAUGUCUUCCUACCAAACUCCUUCUUUCCCUCCCCGUGGACCUUCGUGUGAUGCUCUGUGUUGUUUCUUCAAUGAGGCCUGUUCCUCAGCGCAGCCCCCUUCAAAGCUGUCGGUCCACUGGCCUCUGCGGCCGAGGCUGGCCGCUGUUCUUGCCAGGACAGACGCGGUGGGUGUGCAGCUCUGGGCGUCCGAGCUCCCUUCUGGACCGGCAGUGAAGGAAGUCGCCACAGCACGCUGUUGAACUUCACACACCAAGACAGCAGCCCCGAGGCGCUCACCCAGCCCACAGGGCGAGGAGGGAAAAUACAACGGGAACAAUCAUGUGCAGUGUUUCUGGAACCUGAAAGCCGUUGGCUUAAGACGCAGGCUUCCGUGUGCAAAAGCUGAGCUGUGUAUUUUCAUGAGACCAAAGACACAUUGACGUCGUCAGGCAUCGGGGGCUCCCUGCAGCUCAGUGUGAGGUUCACUGACCUGGGCCCGUCUGUGAUGAUUCCUUGUUUACAUUCUGACCCGGACCUCCAACAUUCCUCAAAUUGUUGGGAACCAGGGAGUGAGAUCGGCACGAAGUUCAAACCCUCCCCUGCUGUCUGCACAGCCACCAGCCUUGUGGCUGGAACACGCUGGGGAUUUUAUGCAGGAACUGCGGGUGGAGGGAGACAGUGGGCAGAACAAGCUGGUGACCUUGGCGAAAAUGGAACCUCACCCUCCCGUGGGCAGCUGGGGGUCUGGGCCCUGCAAGGUCAAGGGGAGGACGCGUCUGCCGCCUUCCCCCACAGACGGCCAAGGACGGUCCGCACACCCUCUACUCCAGAGAAAACUCGGGUGUAGGAAGCAGGCGACUGUGAGGUCAGCUGCAUCUCUCUCUGGCCUGGGUCCCAGGGCCGGAGCCUCUGUCCUGGUCCUGGGGGUCUCCCCGCUGCGCACUUUGGGCAGCCCUGGACUCCUCGGGCAGCCCUGCUGGUAAAGUGCCCGAGGAGGUGAAUGUGCUGCUGGGCCGGAGUUCCGGUCGGGAAAUCUCAGUGGGAACAGAGGCUGAGGACACACAAAGGGUCCCAGCAGCCAGAAGGGAAGGGGAGCAAGGGGAGCCCGGGACGGGCUGUGGGAGAAGACACCUGGAGCGAACUCGUGGGGUGACAGUGGACGCUGUCUGCGGGGCAGGAGAGGGAGAUGGUCCAGGCCCCCAGGCCUCAGGUGGAACCAGGCAGGAGACCCACGCGUGCAAGGCAGGCCGAUGGGGCCCAGUAGAGAGGGGUCAGUUGGGGCACAGAGCUCGGAGCAGGGUGGCCGUGGGGCUCCGCUCACGGGGAGAGGCACAGGGUCAGAGUGAGAAACCCUUCCUGCCUCAGCCAGGCUGGCCGUGGAGAUGGGCCGUGGCUGCCACUGUGUGUUUAUGGGGCCGAGAAUGGGGAGGGCGUCCCCAGCAGGGCAUUUGGGGUCAGGAGGCGCCCAUGGGCCGGCAACACCAUGGGCUGGAGAUACCGCGUCUGGCAAAGGGAAGCCCCCAGUCGGGCAGCCUCACAGCCCACUGUGGUGUCCGGCUUGAGGCGGGGGCUGUGUGCAUCCUCGGGGAGAACAGUCGGCCCCGGGCAAGGGGCUGCCCCUCAGGCCCCCAUCACUGAAAGGCCACAGGCUGGGGAUUCGAGCUUGGUCUCGGAUCUAAGGCUUGGACUGAAGUCUAGUGAGGAUCUGACACCGUCGGGGAGGCCUGUGGUCCCCGUCCAUGGCCAGGCGGAGGGAGCAGGCAUCCCCUGUUCACCCAUCAGCUGCCUGAGCUCCGCGCACCUCAUGGCCGGGUGCUUUGGUAUCCGGGAUACUUCACUGAAAAGAGAUUUUUUCCAUUGUGGCCGAGAACGAGGGAUUUAAAAAACAUCAAGCCAAACCCCGUCUUUUUGAGCAGCUGUCAUGUCCGCUCUGCUGGCUUCGUGCCCGGCCACGUCACCAUCACUUUCCAAAAGUGUCGCUGUGGAAGGCUCACUGGGAGGACAAGUGUCUGCCCCACCCUCACUUUCUCUGUUCCCUAUUUUCUCACCACUUCUUGUUAAUUUGGGGCUGCUUCUUCCUUUUGCUCCUGCUCAGGCUCUGGAUUCUGGGCUCCGUCCUGUGGGCAGUUUUGUGAGCUUAUGAUUAAAUACCUGAUAUUAUGAAAUA